AGGAGCAAUCAUGGAACCCAGUAUCUCUCAAGGAGUGACUAAAGGCUUGCAUGCAGAUGAUAUUGCAGGAAUUAAAGCCUUAUAUAAUGUUUGAGAAAUGUCUAAGAAUUUAAUGGGAGUAGAUUAUUAUAGAAUAAAGCAUUUGUUGCUUAUAAAAUAAACUUUGAUAAUAAUCUAA